GUCACAGUUAUAUGUGUACCUGCCUUUUAAACAUACGUUUAUUUUAUUGUAAAAAAAUGCCAUUUUAAACAUUUUUAAACAAUAGUUAAAAGAAAAAGCUUUAUUCAAAUGCUCGCAGACCAUACAAUUCACCUACUAAAAGUGUGCGGUUGGCCGGGAGCGAUGGCUCACAGCUGUAAUCCCAGCGCUUUGGGAGGCGGAGGUGGGAGGAUCUCUUGAACCCAGGAGUUGAGGCCGGUCUGGGUAACAUAAAUUCAGUAAAAUGUUUAAAAGUGUGCAAUUUAAUGGUUUUUGGUAUAUUGCGUUAUUUUUAAAAUAUUGUCCAAAAUGUAUAUAACAAACUGACAUUUUAACCAUUUUUAAGUACAAUUCAAUAGCAUUAAUUACAUUCACAAUGUAACCAUCACCACUGUUUCCAGAACUUUUCAUCACCCCAGAUAAACUCUAACCGUGAGGCACUGACUCCCCAUUUCACCUUUCCCCCCAGCCUCGGCACCUUCUAUUCCACUUUCUGUCUCUAUGAAUCUGGCCAUUCUAGGUAUUUCAUAGAAGGGACUCAUGCAAUAUAGGAUCUUGUGUGUCUAGCUUAUUUCACUUAGCGUGUUUCUGAGGUUCAUGUACAGUGUGGCAUGGAUCAGUACUUCAUUUUUCGGGCUGAAUAAUAAUUUGUUUUACGGAUAUACUUGUUACAUUUUGUUUAUCCAUUGGCUGGACAUUGGUUUUUUUCACCUUUUCGUUAUUUGAAUACUGGCGAUACGAACAUUUAUGUACCAGUAUGUGUUUGAAUACCUGUGUUCAGUUCUUUUGUCUAUAUAUCUACGAGUGGAAUUGCUGGAUCCUAUGGUAAUUCUGUGUUUAGCUUUUUGAGGAACUGCCACAUUGAUUUCUACAGUGGCUGUACCAUUUUACAUUUCCAUUAGCAGAGUACGAAGUUUCCAGUUUCUUCACUUCCUCACCAACACUUGUUAUUUUCCGUGCCAUGCUAGUACAUGUGAACUGGUAUCUUAACUCUGUGUGUCAAAAAAUUGCGGGGCCGGGCGCGGCGGCUCACGCCUGUAAUCCCAGCACUUUGGGAGGCCGAGGCGGGCGGAUCACGAGGUCAGGAGAUCGAGACCAUCCUGGCUAACACGGUGAAACCCCCUCUCUACUAAAAAUACAAAAAAUUAGCCGGGCAUGUUGGCACGCGCCUGUAGUCCCAGCUACUCGGGAGGCUGAGGCCGGAGAAUGGCGUGAACCCGGGAGGCGGAGCUUGCAGUGAGCCGAGAUCACGCCACCGCACUCCAGCCUGGGAGACAGAGCGAGACUCCGUUUCAAAAAAAAAAAAUUGUGGUAAAAUAUAGCAAGAUUACCAUUUUAACCACUUAAAAAUGUUUUUGACUAGAAAGAAGGGAGGAAAAUUUUAACCGUUUGUAAUUGUAUGGUUCAGUGGCAUCGCCUCCGUUCACACUGCUGUGCAUCCGUCACCACCGUCCAUCUCCAGAACUUUUUAAUCCUCCCAAACUGAAUUUCCACACCCUUGAGGCUCACCGUUCCUCCCUCCUACUAUCCCCUGGCAACCACCGUUCUCCUUUCCAUUUCUGUGAACCCGACUGCUUCUAGGUACCUCCUGUAAGUGGAAUUUUCAUAGGUUUUGUCCUUUUGUGUCUGGCCUGUUUUACCUAGCGUAAUGUUUUCCAGGUUCAUCCAUACUGCAUGUGACAGCAUUCCCUUCUUUUCCAGGCUGAAUAAUGUUCCAGUGUAUGUAUAUGCUACAUUAAAAGAAAUCUGUUCCUCUGUCAGUGGACACUUGGCUUGCUUCCACUUCUCGGCUAUUAGAAAUAAUGCUGGUGUGAACUUGGGUGUACAAAUGUCUGUUCAGGGGCCUGUUUUCUAUUCUUUUGGGUGUAUACCUGGAAGUGGAAUUUCUAGAUCCUAUGGUAAUUCUAUGUGUGAUUGGUUUUGGAAACCGCCAUACUGUUUUCCACAGUGACUGUACCGUUUUACAUUCCCACCAACAGUGCGUGGGUGUCCAGUUUCUCUGCACCCUCGCCAACACUUGCUAUUUUCUGGGUUUUGAUAGUAGCCAUCCUGGUGAGUAUGAGGUGGUAUCCCAUUGUGGUUUUUAUUUGCAUGUCCCCAAUGACUAAGGAUGGCGAGCAUCUUUGCAUGCAUUUAUUGGCCAUUUGUAUAUCAUCUUCGGAAAAAUAUGAAAUAUCUAUUCAAAUCCUGUGCUCAUUCAUUCUUUUUGUUUCUGUUUUUCUCCCAAAACCCAGAAAAAGCCACAACUUUGCCUGUCAUUUAAUCAGGUUGUUUUUUUGAGUUGUGGGCAUUCUCCUGCCUCAGCCUCCUGAGUAGCUGGGAUUACAGGCAUGCGACACCACACCCAACUAAUUUUUGUAUUGUUAGUAGAGAUGGGGUUUUGCUGUGUUGGUCAGGAUGGUCUCAAUCUCUUGACCUCGUGAUCCACCUGUCUUGGCCUCCAAAAGUGCUGGGAUUACAAGCGUGAGCCACCGCGUCCGGGCUGUUUUAGUUUUUAUCCACCAUAGAUGAGUUUUUUCUGUUCUGGAACUUCAUAUAAAUGGAAUUCUUUUUAUUUCCUAGGGCUACUGUAACAAAGUACCACGAACUUAGCAGAAAUUUAUUCUCCCUCAGUUCUGAAGAGUAGAACUCCAAACCCAAGAUGCUAGCAGGGAGCAGGGACAUGUACAUUGAAGGCUCUGGGAGAGAAUCUGUUCCGUGCCCUUCUCCUUAGCUUCUGGUGUGGCUGGAAUCCAUGGUGUUCCUGGUUUGCAGCUGAGUCACUCCAGUCUCUGCCUCCAUUGGCACGUAGAGUUUCCCGGUGUGUCUGUCUUUACAUGGCCGUCUCCUCUGUGUCUCUCUCUUUUUUUUUUACCAGGACACUAGUUAUAUUGGAUUAAAGGCUCUGUACUCUUUGUAUGAACUCCAUUAUAUCUGUAACAACCUGUUUCCAGUUAAGACCACAUUCUUAGUUACUGGGAGUUAGGACUUAAGCAUAUCUUUUGGGGGGUUAUUCAGCAUAAGGUUCAAGAUUUAUUCUUUUUUUUUUUUUGAGACAGUCUUGUUCUGUCACCCAGUCUGGAAUGCAGUGACAGGAUCUCGGCUCACUGCAACCUCCGUCUCCUGGGUUCAAGUGAUUCUCCUGCCUCAGCCUCCUAAGUAGCUGGGAUUACAGGCACGCACCACCAUGCCUGGCUAAUUUUUGUAUUUUUAGUAGAGAUGGGGUUUCACCAUGUUGCCCAGCCUGGUGUCGAACUCCUGACCUCAGGUGAUCCACCCGCCUCGGCCUCCCAAAGUGCUGGGAUUACAGGCAUGAGCCACCGCGCCUGGCCUCAAGAUUUAUUCUUGUGUAGAUAUUCGUUUUUUAAGUAUUAUUCCACCAUUGACUAUGCUGUAUAUGAUUGGCCAUUCUCCACUGAUACAGUGCUUCAGUUGCUUGCAGUUUUGGAUAUUAUGAAUAAAGUUGCUGAGAAGGUUC
rnacentral:lncRNA from 1 species